rnacentral:rRNA from 1 species
AUACGUAGGGUGCGAGCGUUGUCCGGAAUUACUGGGCGUAAAGAGCUCGUAGGUGGUUUGUCGCGUCGUCUGUGAAAUUCCGGGGCUUAACUCCGGGCGUGCAGGCGAUAUGGGCAUAACUUGAGUACUGUAGGGGAGACUGGAAUUCCUGGUGUAGCGGUGAAAUGCGCAGAUAUCAGGAGGAACACCGGUGGCGAAGGCGGGUCUCUGGGCAGUAGCUGACGCUGAGGAGCGAAAGCAUGGGUAGCGAACAGGAUUAGAUCCCCUGGUAGUCCAUGCCGUAAACGGUGGGCGCUAGGUGUAGGGGUCUUCCACGACUUCUGUGCCGUAGCUAACGCAUUAAGCGCCCCGCCUGGGGAGUACGGCCGCAAGGCUAAAACUCAAAUGAAUUGACGGGG